UACGGAGGGUGCAAGCGUUAUCCGGAUUCACUGGGUUUAAAGGGUGCGUAGGCGGAUAGUUAAGUCUGUGGUGAAAUCUCCCGACUUAAUCGGGAAACUGCCGUGGAUACUAUCUAUCUUGAAUGUCGUGGAGGUUAGCGGAAUAUGUCAUGUAGCGGUGAAAUGCUUAGAUAUGACAUAGAACACCUAUUGCGAAGGCAGCUAACUACGCGAAUAUUGACGCUGAGGCACGAAAGCGUGGGGAUCAAACAGGAUUAGAAACCCCCGUAGUCC
rnacentral:rRNA from 1 species